AUUGAACGCUGGCGGCAUGCCUUACACAUGCAAGUCGAACGGCAGCACGGGUGCUUGCACCUGGUGGCGAGUGGCGAACGGGUGAGUAAUAUAUCGGAACGUACCUUAUUGUGGGGGAUAACGCAGCGAAAGCUGUGCUAAUACCGCAUAAUCCCUAAGGGGGAAAGCGGGGGACCGUAAGGCCUCGCGCAAUUAGAGCGGCCGAUACCUGAUUAGCUAGUUGGUGAGGUAAAGGCUCACCAAGGCAACGAGCAGUAGCUGGUCUGAGAGGACGAUCGGCCACACUGGGACUGAGACACGGCCCAGACUCCUACGGGAGGCAGCAGUGGGGAAUUUUGGACAAUGGGGGCAACCCUGAUCCAGCAAUGCCGCGUGAGUGAAGAAGGCCUUCGGGUUGUAAAGCUCUUUUGUCAGGGAAGAAACAGCAGCUCUAACACAGUUUGCGAAUGACGGUACCUGAAGAAUAAGCACCGGCUAACUACGUGCCAGCCGCCGCGGUAA
rnacentral:rRNA from 1 species